AUAUUACCAAGCGGAGGAAAAGAAACCAACCGGGAUUCCUCAGUAACGGCGAGUGAAGCGGCAACAGCUCAAAUUUAAAAUCUGGCUAAUUUAUUAGCCCGAGUUGUAAUUUGCAGAGGGUGUUUCGGGGGAGGUGCUGGUACAAGUCCUCUGGAACGAGGUGUCAUGGAGGGUGAGAAUCCCGUUCGUGACCGGUAACCAACCCCGUGUGAAACCCCUUCGACGAGUCGAGUUGUUUGGGAAUGCAGCUCAAAAUGGGUGGUAAAUUUCAUCUAAAGCUAAAUACCGGCCAGAAACCGAAUAGCGCACAAGUA
rnacentral:rRNA from 1 species